rnacentral:rRNA from 1 species
UACAGAGGGUGCGAGCGUUAAUCGGAAUUACUGGGCGUAAAGCGUGCGUAGACGGCUAUCUAAGUCGGGUGUGAAAGCCCCGGGCUCAACCUGGGAAUUGCAUUCGAGACUGAAUAGCUAGGGUACGGUAGAGGGAAGCGGAAUUUCCGGCGUAGCGGUGAAAUGCGUAGAUAUCGGAAGGAACAUCAGUGGCGAAAGCGGACUUCCUGGAC